UACGUAGGCAGCAAGCGUUGCUCGGAAUUACUGGGCGUAAAGAGUGUGUAGGCGGUGCUCUAAGUUCGGUGUGAAAUCUCCCGGCUUAACUGGGAGGGUGCGCCGGAAACUGGAGUGCUUGAGCGCGGGAGAGGAAAGCGGAAUUCCUGGUGUAGCGGUGAAAUGCGUAGAUAUCAGGAGGAACACCUGUGGUGUAGACGGCUUUCUGGACCGUAGCUGACGCUGAGACACGAAAGCGUGGGUAGCAAACAGG
rnacentral:rRNA from 1 species